GGAGAGAUGGCAGAGCGGCUGAAUGCACUAGCUUGGAAAGCUAGCAGGCGCAGAGAAUGCGCCUCGCGGGUUCGAUUCCCGCUCUCUCCG
rfam:Zostera marina strain Finnish scaffold_4097, whole genome shotgun sequence.